rnacentral:lncRNA from 1 species
UGAUUUGAUAGCCCUUCUAGUAUACUAGUCAGUAGUCAGCACCAUUGGACCAUAUAGGUGUCAUCCCCAUUGGACCAUACAGGUGUCUUCACCAUCAGACCAUACAGGUGUCGUCACCAUUGGACCAUACAGGUGUCUUCACCAUCGGACCAUACAGGUGUCUUCACCAUCAGACCAUAUAGGUGUCGUCACCAUCAGACCAUACAGGUGUUGUCACCAUUGGACCAUACAGGUGUCUUCACCAUUGGACCAUACAGGUGUCUUCACCAUCAGACCAUACAGGUGUCGUCACCAUUGGACCAUACAGGUGUCUUCACCAUCAGACCAUACAGGUGUCUUCACCAUCAGACCAUAUAGGUGUCAUCACCAUUGGACCAUACAGGUGUCUUCACCAUCAGACCAUAUAGGUGUCUU